rnacentral:misc_RNA from 1 species
GAUGAAGAACGUAGCGAAAUGCGAUAAGUAAUGUGAAUUGCAGAAUUCAGUGAAUCACCGAAUCUUUGAACGCACAUUGCGCCCCCUGGUAUUCCGGGGGGCAUGCCUGUUCGAGCGUCAUUUCACCACUCAAGCCUCGCUUGGUAUUGGGCAACGCGGUCCGCCGCGUGCCUCAAAUCGACCGGCUGGGUCUUCUGUCCCCUAAGCGUUGUGGAAACUAUUCGCUAAAGGGUGUUCGGGAGGCUACGCCGUAAAACAACCCCAUUUCUAAGGUUGACCUCGGAUCAGGUAGGGAUACCCGCUGAACUUAAGCAUAUCAAUAAGCGGAGGA